AGUGAACGCUGGCGGUAGGCCUAACACAUGCAAGUCGAACGGCAGCACAGAGGAGCUUGCUCCUUGGGUGGCGAGUGGCGGACGGGUGAGGAAUACAUCGGAAUCUACUCUGUCGUGGGGGAUAACGUAGGGAAACUUACGCUAAUACCGCAUACGACCUACGGGUGAAAGCAGGGGAUCUUCGGACCUUGCGCGAUUGAAUGAGCCGAUGUCGGAUUAGCUAGUUGGCGGGGUAAAGGCCCACCAAGGCGACGAUCCGUAGCUGGUCUGAGAGGAUGAUCAGCCACACUGGAACUGAGACACGGUCCAGACUCCUACGGGAGGCAGCAGUGGGGAAUAUUGGACAAUGGGCGCAAGCCUGAUCCAGCCAUACCGCGUGGGUGAAGAAGGCCUUCGGGUUGUAAAGCCCUUUUGUUGGGAAAGAAAUCCAGCUGGCUAAUACCCGGUUGGGAUGACGGUACCCAAAGAAUAAGCACCGGCUAACUUCGUGCCAGCAGCCGCCGUAAGAC
rnacentral:rRNA from 1 species